rnacentral:rRNA from 1 species
ACGGGUGAGUAACGCGUGGUAACCUGCCCUGUACACACGGAUAACAUACCGAAGGUAUGCUAAUACCGAGAUAAUAUGCUUUUGUCGCAUGGUGAAGUAUCAAAAGCUCCGGCGGUACAGGAUGGACCCGCGUCUGAUUAGCUAGUUGGUAAGGUAACGGCUUACCAAGGCGACGAUCAGUAGCCGACCUGAGAGGGUGAUCGGCCACAUUGGAACUGAGACACGGUCCAAACUCCUACGGGAGGCAGCAGUGGGGAAUAUUGCACAAUGGGCGAAAGCCUGAUGCAGCAACGCCGCGUGAGCGAUGAAGGCCUUCGGGUCGUAAAGCUCUGUCCUCAAGGAAGAUAAUGACGGUACUUGAGGAGGAAGCCCCGGCUAACUACGUG